rnacentral:rRNA from 1 species
UACGUAGGUGGCAAGCGUUAUCCGGAUUUACUGGGUGUAAAGGGCGUGUAGGCGGGACUGCAAGUCAGAUGUGAAAACUAUGGGCUCAACUCAUAGCCUGCAUUUGAAACUGUAGUUCUUGAGUGUUGGAGAGGCAGGCGGAAUUCCGUGUGUAGCGGUGAAAUGCGUAGAUAUACGGAGGAACACCAGUGGCGAAGGCGGCCUGCUGGACAAUAACUGACGCUGAGGCGCGAAAGCGUGGGGAGCAA